rnacentral:rRNA from 1 species
UACGUAGGGUGCGAGCGUUGCCCGGAAUUAUUGGGCGUAAAGAGCUCGUAGGCGGUUUGUCGCGUCUGCCGUGAAAGUCCGGGGCUCAACUCCGGAUCUGCGGUGGGUACGGGCAGACUAGAGUGAUGUAGGGGAGACUGGAAUUCCUGGUGUAGCGGUGAAAUGCGCAGAUAUCAGGAGGAACACCUAUUGCGAAGGCAGCUCGCUGGGACGUAACUGACGCUGAGACGCGAAAGCGUGGGGAGCAAACAGG